CUGAAUUUUUGCAAUAAAAUAAAUCAAAAUUUAUUUUGUUACACGAGAUUUUGAUAAAAAGAGAGAUUGUUUUUGGUUGCAAAAAGAGAAAUUGAUUUGAAGGUACUGCAAAAAGAGAUCGUCUUAAAUAUGUUGCAAGAAGAGAAUUUUCUUUGAAGCAUUGCCGGAAGAGAAAUUGGCAUAAAGUUGUUAGCAAUCUGGUUGCACAAGUCUCUUUAAUAGCCGAAUGUCACUAUUUAGAUGGCAAAGAUGCUUUUAUAUUUAUGGAUAUAUUACAAAAAUACUUGUUUUGGCUUGGAAAAAUUAUUUUGGCAUUUUAAAUACUCUUCUUGCUCGAGGAAAUGUUACUAUAUGAAUUAAAUCAAUUUUAACACUUGAUUUCAAAUUAUCAAGGUUAACUGUAAAA
rnacentral:lncRNA from 1 species